rnacentral:rRNA from 1 species
ACUCAAAUGAAUUGACGGGGACCCGCACAAGCGGUGGAGCAUGUGGUUUAAUUCGAGGCUACGCGAAGAACCUUACCUAGACUUGACAUGUAUUUGAUAGUCCAUGAAAGUGGAUCUUCUCGCAAGAGACAAUUACACAGGUGCUGCAUGGCUGUCGUCAGCUCGUGCUGUGAAGUGUUGGGUUAAGUCCCGCAACGAGCGCAACCUUUAUUCUUAGUUGCCAUCAGGUAAAGCUGGGCACUCUAGGAAGACUGCCGGUGAUUAACUGGAGGAAGGAGGAGAUGACGUCAAGUCAGUAUGGCCCUUAUGUCUAGGGCUACACACGUGCUACAAUGGCCACUACAAAGCGCUGCAAACCCGCGAGGGGGAGCUAAUCGCAAAAAAAUGGCCUCAGUUCAGAUUGGAGGCUGCAAUUCGCCUCCAUGAAGUCGGAAUCGCUAGUAACGGUAGAUCAGCUACGCUACCGUGAAUACGUUCCCGGGUCUUGCACACACCGCCCGU